GACGAACGCUGGCGGCGUGCUUAACACAUGCAAGUCGAACGGUGAACCAGGGCUUGCCCUGGGGAUCAGUGGCGAACGGGUGAGUAACACGUGGGCAACCUGCCCCUGACUCUGGGAUAACUUCGGGAAACCGAAGCUAAUACCGGAUACGACCUCUGACGGCAUCGUCGGAGGUGGAAAGUUUUUCGGUCAGGGAUGGGCCCGCGGCCUAUCAGCUUGUUGGUGGGGUAAUGGCCCCCCAAGGCGACGACGGGUAGCCGGCCUGAGAGGGCGAGCGGGCAGACAGGGACUGAGACACGGACCAGACUCCUACGGGAGGCAGCAGUGGGGAAUAUUGGGGAAUGGGCGAAAGCCUGACGGAGCGACGCGGCGUGAGGGAUGAAGGCCUUCGGGUUGUAAACCUCUUUCAGCAGGGACGAAGCGAAAGUGACUGUACCUGCAGAAGAAGCACCGGCUAACUACGUGCCAGCCGCCGAAGUAA
rnacentral:rRNA from 1 species